rnacentral:tRNA from 2 species
GGCGGGAUAGCUCAGUUGGUAGAGCAACGGACUGAAAAUCCGUGUGUCCCCAGUUCAAUUCUGGGUCCCGCCACCA